GCCAGGAUGUGAUGUAAUGGCAGGAAGAAGGUGUGUCUUUCUCUUUGCUGGUUCCGGCUUGCUGUUUGCAGCCACCAUGAACUGCGGCCCAGCCAUGCCUGCCUGCCUUGGAGCCAACUGAGUGUGGACUGAAACCUCCAAAAACUAUAAGAAAACUGAAGUUCAGAGAAGUUAAGUAUUCUGUUCCAAAUCACACAGCUGGUACGAUUUUAAGUGCAAGUCCAGUUUCAUUGCCUAUUCAAGCAGAAAAAGGUACCCUGUAUAACAGCAUUAAAAUGGAAAUAACUGUACCUUUAAGACAAAUAAAGUGCUGGCAAGCAGGUCACUGAAUGAACUAUACCUACACGGAGCAACAUGAGUGCGUUUCAAAGCAGGUUUUUUUUAAAGGUAUAGACAUUAUGCUGCUGAUCAUAUAAAAUGAAAAACACACCGAAGACUUGUUUUUGUUGUUAUGCUACACACUCAUAUUUCUAAGCAUACAAGAAUGAAACCCACCAUGCCAGGACGUGGUACCCUUAUUGGAGGAGGAAGCGAUAAAGGAAUGGGGGAGACUUUAAUUCUGGCACCUUACUAAUGAUCGCAUCCUUAGCUGUUACACUGAGGGUGCUGACAAGGAUAUCUGUUCACCAUUCU